rnacentral:rRNA from 1 species
GAUGAACGCUAGCGGCAGGCUUAACACAUGCAAGUCGAGGGGUAGAAGGAGCUUGCUCCUUUGAGACCGGCGCACGGGUGCGUAACGCGUAUGCAAUCUACCUUUCACAGAGGGAUAGCCCAGAGAAAUUUGGAUUAAUACCUCAUAGUAUAGCAGUUUCGCAUGAAACCACUAUUAAAGUCACAACGGUGAAAGAUGAGCAUGCGUCCCAUUAGCUAGUUGGUAAGGUAACGGCUUACCAAGGCAACGAUGGGUAGGGGUCCUGAGAGGGAGAUCCCCCACACUGGUACUGAGACACGGACCAGACUCCUACGGGAGGCAGCAGUGAGGAAUAUUGGACAAUGGGCGCAAGCCUGAUCCAGCCAUGCCGCGUGCAGGAAUAAGAAGCACCGGCUAACUACGUGCCAGCAGCCGCGGUAAAGUAGACGUCU